GGCCCGCCUAACACAUGCAAGUCGAACGGUAACAGGACCCUUCUUGCUGCUUCGCUGACGAGUGGCGGACGGGUGAGUAAUGUCUGGGAAACUGCCUGAUGGAGGGGGAUAACUACUGGAAACGGUAGCUAAUACCGCAUAACGUCGCAAGACCAAAGAGGGGGACCUUAGGGCCUCUUGCCAUCGGAUGUGCCCAGAUGGGAUUAGCUAGUAGGUGGGGUAACGGCUCACCUAGGCGACGAUCCCUAGCUGGUCUGAGAGGAUGACCAGCCACACUGGAACUGAGACACGGUCCAGACUCCUACGGGAGGCAGCAGUGGGGAAUAUUGCACAAUGGGCGCAAGCCUGAUGCAGCCAUGCCGCGUGUAUGAAGAAGGCCUUCGGGUUGUAAAGUACUUUCAGCGGGGAGGAAGGGAGUAAAGUUAAUACCUUUGCUCAUUGACGUUACCCGCAGAAGAAGCACCGGCUAACUCCGUGCCAGCAGCUGCGGUAAUACGGAGGGUGCAAGCGUUAAUCGGAAUUACUGGGCGUAAAGCGCACGCAGGCGGUUUGUUAAGUCAGAUGUGAAAUCCCCGGGCUCAACCUGGGAACUGCAUCUGAUACUGGCAAGCUUGAGUCUCGUAGAGGGGGGUAGAAUUCCAGGUGUAGCGGUGAAAUGCGUAGAGAUCUGGAGGAAUACCGGUGGCGAAGGCGGCCCCCUGGACGAAGACUGACGCUCAGGUGCGAAAGCGUGGGGAGCAAACAGGAUUAGAUACCCUGGUAGUCCACGCCGUAAACGAUGUCGACUUGGAGGUUGUGCCCUUGAGGCGUGGCUUCCGGAGCUAACGCGUUAAGUCGACCGCCUGGGGAGUACGGCCGCAAGGUUAAAACUCAAAUGAAUUGACGGGGGCCCGCACAAGCGGUGGAGCAUGUGGUUUAAUUCGAUGCAACGCGAAGAACCUUACCUGGUCUUGACAUCCACGGAAGUUUUCAGAGAUGAGAAUGUGCCUUCGGGAACCGUGAGACAGGUGCUGCAUGGCUGUCGUCAGCUCGUGUUGUGAAAUGUUGGGUUAAGUCCCGCAACGAGCGCAACCCUUAUCCUUUGUUGCCAGCGGUCCGGCCGGGAACUCAAAGGAGACUGCCAGUGAUAAACUGGAGGAAGGUGGGGAUGACGUCAAGUCAUCAUGGCCCUUACGACCAGGGCUACACACGUGCUACAAUGGCGCAUACAAAGAGAAGCGACCUCGCGAGAGCAAGCGGACCUCAUAAAGUGCGUCGUAGUCCGGAUUGGAGUCUGCAACUCGACUCCAUGAAGUCGGAAUCGCUAGUAAUCGUGGAUCAGAAUGCCACGGUGAAUACGUUCCCGGGCCUUGUACACACCGCCCGUCACACCAUGGGAGUGGGUUGCAAAAGAAGUAGGUAGCUUAACCUUCGGGAGGGCGCUUACCACUUUGUGAUUCAUGACUGGGGUGAAGUCGUA
rnacentral:rRNA from 1 species